GCGUAGAUGGCUUCCUUCUCCAACAAUCUUCUUUCCUUAUGGCAACAUAGAUUCAUGGUCCCAUCUAUUGCUGAUUUCUUUCACAAACACUAAAUCUAUACUAGGCGAUUCUCUCAUGCGGUUAUCAAAAACCCUAAAUUGGAACCAGUCGAAUCUGAUACAGUGAAAUUAAGGCUUUUGAUUUCCGAGUUAGGGUUUCUUCUUCAUAUGCGGUCUUCUUUUAAGAUGAUUUGCCAUAAUUCUUUGCCUAUAAUAUCCUUUGUUCAUUGUAUUCAUCGACAUCACAAUUCCAAUUUUAUGUUGCCAUCGUUCCGCCUUAAUCAAUGGCAAAUCAUCGUUGCUUCUUCAACUAUGUCUUAGACGCUACGGAAUCAGAACGGACAUUUGCUUGCGGCUUUAUCUUUGGUUGCACAGAUACAACUUUGCAUAGACGAGUGUCAGGUAAAUUAUUAAUGUAAAUUAAAAGAAGCGAGUCAGCUCGAGUCAAGCUAUAACUUGAAAAUUUACACACGAGUUAGAUCGAACAGAACUACAGAUGCUGUUUUGAUAAGUUAUUUCAAUAUUGUUUGUCUCCAUCACUUGGCUAUGUGUCGCCCCAUAUGUGCUGGUUGCUUUACAUGAUGAAUUCUAUAUACCUUAAUUCAUAUACAUAUUUUCCACCAAAGUAAGUUUUUUAAGAAUAGAGCAUAACUUUAUAUUCUUUUCAUGAUUUUAUAAAUGAUUUCAUAUUAAGAGAGGCCAUGGGGUAGCUCGGUAUCUUGGUAAAUCACAGGUAUGUAUUGUAAUGUUGUUGGUUUGUUUUUAACGCUUUUUUAUUUGGUUGUUGUAAUGGUUUGUUGUUUGAGUUGGAACAUGUGGAUUGAAUUUGCUCUUUUACAACCUUUUACAGUUCUUUCAUGUUAUAUUGCAUGAUUCAAUCACCCAUUUUAUUCAAUUUUUUUCUAUGACAUUUAAGUUUCAUCAUGAACAACAGCACACCACCUGUUUGAUGAAAUGCCUGACUGAAAUUGAAAAUUUGUGUUCUUUAUUUUUUGUGUGAAACUUUCGAAUUUUAUCAGUAGGGUAAAAGUUUUUAACCAAAGUUAUAUAAUACGAUUAGUAUUGAAAGUUUUUAUAAACUUGAUAAGAUGAAUAAUGAUGUUGAAAUCUAUGACUUUCAAGUCUGAGUUUGACUUUAUUUAGUCAAACAAAGAUAGUUUUAGGCCUUCGUUUUUCAGAUGUCAACAGCCCUUUGGUUUAAAUUUUGAUUACGUUUUCUGCGGUGAAUGCAAUGAAGAUGUUCUGCAUAUAAUAUUUCGAACAUGAUGAUCUUGGCGGGGCAAAGAUGAGAUUAUCACAUUCUGGCGGGGCAACCUGGAUGGUCCUGUGAAAGGUUGAAUAAGUUUGUGCUAUCACAUGGCAAUCGGUUGAUAACUUGCGGCUGGGAAUGAGUGGCGGCCAUAAUUUGAUUGUAAAAGUUGUUAGUUCAACGCUGGUGUUGCAGAAGGGCCGGCCUAAUUGCUGAAUGUUUGGUAGGAGAUGAGACCGAGACUAUAUUGUUCACUGCAAGGAAUAAUCAGGUAGUUACCGGUUUUCUUU
rnacentral:lncRNA from 1 species